AACUUUUGGCAACGGAUCACUUGGCUCUCGCAUCGAUGAAGAACGCAGCGAAAUGCGAUAAGUAAUGUGAAUUGCAGAAUUCAGUGAAUCAUCCAAUCUUUGAACGCACCUUGCGCUCCUUGGUAUUCCGAGGAGCAUGCCUGUUUGAGUGUCAUUAAUAAAUAUAUCAACCUUCUCUUUUUGGAGUGUGUUGGAUGUGGGGGUUUGCUGGCCUUGUAAAGGGUUCAGCUCCCCUCAAAUGAAUCAGCCUCCCAGUGUUUGGUGGCAUCACGGGUGUGAUAAAUAUCUAUGCUCGCGGUUGUCUGCCAGGUAACCUUUGGUGACAAAGGUUUGCUGGAGCUCACAGAUGUCUCUCCUCAGCGAGGACAGCUUUUUGAACGUUCGAUCUCAAAUAAGGUAGGACUACCCGCUGAACUUAAGCAUAUCAAUAAGCGGAGG
rnacentral:misc_RNA from 1 species